UUAUAUAGCCACUAAAACAAUAACCUUGUAACCUGGUCAGGAUAGAAAUAGAGCAGCCAUAUCGAGAAGUGUUGUGUUUGGUGGUUUUUUUAUUUUUA
rnacentral:SRP_RNA from 1 species